rnacentral:rRNA from 1 species
AGAGUUUGAUCAUGGCUCAGAUUGAACGCUGGCGGUAUGCUUAACACAUGCAAGUCGAACGGAAACGACACUAGCUUGCUAGUAGGCGUCGAGUGGCGGACGGGUGAGUAACGCGUAGGAAUCUGCCUGAUAGUGGGGGAUAGCCCGAAGAAAUUCGGAUUAAUACCGCAUAAUCUAUUCGUAGUAAAGUGGGGGACUUUCGAGCCUCACGCUAUCAGAUGAGCCUGCGUAAGAUUAGCUUGUUGGUGGGGUAAAAGCCCACCAAGGCGACGAUCUUUAGCUGGUCUGAGAGGAUGAUCAGCCACAUCGGGACUGAGACACGGCCCGAACUCCUACGGGAGGCAGCAGUGGGGAAUAUUGGACAAUGGGGGCAACCCUGAUCCAGCAAUACCGCCUGUGUGAAGAAGGCCUGAGGGUUGUAAAGCACUUUCAAUUGUGAAGAAAAGUUAGCGGUUAAUAACCGUUGGCCUUGACGUAACUUUAGAAGAAG